rnacentral:lncRNA from 1 species
GCUGUUGGAUCAAUAAUCUGUUUGGCUAUAAUUUCCAUUCCAACUAUGACUGUAAGCGUUAGUCUUUUAUGUACUUAAUUCUUUUGUCAUUUCACCCAGGAUUUGUUAGUCUUAUAAUUAUGCAGGCCAUUAGUAGAUUAAUUACUUCCAUGGAUUUACUGUCCAAAGUAAUUUCAAAAGAGAUACCCGGAACCUUGUCUUCACUCAGGCUUUCCAGCCUUGAGAUUAAAGACUAACCCAAAAACUGAGCAAUCUCAGGUUGGUAUUUCCAUUUCCACCAUAUAUAGCUUUCUUAAUCAAAUUCAUUUUAUUUUAAUACAUGCAUUUGAAAAUAUACUACACACAGCCGCUAGCCAGCAAUGAUUGAUACUAUUGCUUGUUUCUGGUUUUGUCAAGGCAAUUGAUAUCUGGAUUUUCGAUUCUUAAACUGUGUUCUCGAUUCACAGGCACAUAAAUAAGAACAGGGCUACAGAUUGAACAUCACUUGUAGAGUUUUUCCACGAUAUCCUUUAAGCGCUGAACAUCAGCACCAAUUACUUCAGACGCCUUUUUCCCAUUCUGGAAGAAGUGGAGUGUCGGCUGCAGCAAAAGAAAUUUUUCACUAUCACAGAUGACUCAACAAAAAAUCAAGUAGAAGUAAAGCAAAUGCAAGAGCCGACCAAUACAAUUUGCCAAUGAUCAUACAGUAGGUAAAUCAAUUACUGAACUCAAUAGCCAGAUCAAGACAGACUAUCACAAUGUCAUGCAUCGAUCACUAAGUAGAGGAACCCAAUAACAAGAUGGUAAAUUCCUAUCUUCACUAGCAUUUGGUGCAGGAUGCAAGUAAAAGAAAAUUUGGGUUUUCCUUUCUUUUGCCAAGUAGAGUACGGUUCUUCACAAGUCAUGGUAGAUAAGAUUUUGGAAUUAAAUUGGGUAAUUAAUGUAAUUUAUGAAUAAUUGGCGAUUAUUUCUAGUAUUCAGGUCAUUUUGACCAUUAAUUGUCUUGGUUAAGCUUAGGCAUUUUAAUUGAGGUAUACGCUAGGAGUCAAAGUCCUAGUAGAACUAG